rnacentral:tRNA from 6 species
GGUCUAGUGGUGUAAUGGUUAUCACGUCUCGCUCACACCGAGGAGGCUCAGAGUUCGAUCCUCUGCUGGAUCA